rnacentral:rRNA from 1 species
AACGAACGCUGGCGGCAUGCCUAACACAUGCAAGUCGAACGAGACCUUCGGGUCUAGUGGCGCACGGGUGCGUAACGCGUGGGAACCUGCCCUUAGGUUCGGAAUAACUCCCCGAAAGGGGUGCUAAUACCGGAUAGUGUCUUCGGACCAAAGAUUUAUCGCCUUUGGAUGGGCCCGCGUUGGAUUAGCUAGUUGGUAGGGUAAAAGCCUACCAAGGCGACGAUCCAUAGCUGGUCUGAGAGGAUGAUCAGCCACACUGGGACUGAGACACGGCCCAGACUCCUACGGGAGGCAGCAGUGGGGAAUAUUGGACAAUGGGCGAAAGCCUGAUCCAGCAAUGCCGCGUGAGUGAUGAAGGCCUUAGGGCUGUAAAGCUCUUUUACCCGGGAUGAUAAUGACAGUACCGGGAGAAUAAGCUCCGGCUAACUCCGUG